rnacentral:rRNA from 1 species
AAAUUGAAGAGUUUGAUCAUGGCUCAGAUUGAACGCUGGCGGCAGGCCUAACACAUGCAAGUCGAACGGUAACAGGAAGCAGCUUGCUGCUUUGCUGACGAGUGGCGGACGGGUGAGUAAUGUCUGGGAAACUGCCUGAUGGAGGGGGAUAACUACUGGAAACGGUAGCUAAUACCGCAUAAUGUCGCAAGACCAAAGAGGGGGACCUUCGGGCCUCUUGCCAUCGGAUGUGCCCAGAUGGGAUUAGCUAGUAGGUGGGGUAACGGCUCACCUAGGCGACGAUCCCUAGCUGGUCUGAGAGGAUGACCAGCCACACUGGAACUGAGACACGGUCCAGACUCCUACGGGAGGCAGCAGUGGGGAAUAUUGCACAAUGGGCGCAAGCCUGAUGCAGCCAUGCCGCGUGUAUGAAGAAGGCCUUCGGGUUGUAAAGUACUUUCAGCGGGGAGGAAGGGAGUAAAGUUAAUACCUUUGCUCAUUGACGUUACCCGCAGAAGAAGCACCGGCUAACUCCGUGCCAGCAGCCGCGGUAAUACGGAGGGUGCAAGCGUUAAUCGGAAUUACUGGGCGUAAAGCGCACGCAGGCGGUUUGUUAAGUCAGAUGUGAAAUCCCCGGGCUCAACCUGGGAACUGCAUCUGAUACUGGCAAGCUUGAGUCUCGUAGAGGGGGGUAGAAUUCCAGGUGUAGCGGUGAAAUGCGUAGAGAUCUGGAGGAAUACCGGUGGCGAAGGCGGCCCCCUGGACGAAGACUGACGCUCAGGUGCGAAAGCGUGGGGAGCAAACAGGAUUAGAUACCCUGGUAGUCCACGCCGUAAACGAUGUCGACUUGGAGGUUGUGCCCUUGAGGCGUGGCUUCCGGAGCUAACGCGUUAAGUCGACCGCCUGGGGAGUACGGCCGCAAGGUUAAAACUCAAAUGAAUUGACGGGGGCCCGCACAAGCGGUGGAGCAUGUGGUUUAAUUCGAUGCAACGCGAAGAACCUUACCUGGUCUUGACAUCCACAGAACUUUCCAGAGAUGGAUUGGUGCCUUCGGGAACUGUGAGACAGGUGCUGCAUGGCUGUCGUCAGCUCGUGUUGUGAAAUGUUGGGUUAAGUCCCGCAACGAGCGCAACCCUUAUCCUUUGUUGCCAGCGGUCCGGCCGGGAACUCAAAGGAGACUGCCAGUGAUAAACUGGAGGAAGGUGGGGAUGACGUCAAGUCAUCAUGGCCCUUACGACCAGGGCUACACACGUGCUACAAUGGCGCAUACAAAGAGAAGCGACCUCGCGAGAGCAAGCGGACCUCAUAAAGUGCGUCGUAGUCCGGAUUGGAGUCUGCAACUCGACUCCAUGAAGUCGGAAUCGCUAGUAAUCGUGGAUCAGAAUGCCACGGUGAAUACGUUCCCGGGCCUUGUACACACCGCCCGUCACACCAUGGGAGUGGGUUGCAAAAGAAGUAGGUAGCUUAACCUUCGGGAGGGCGCUUACCACUUUGUGAUUCAUGACUGGGGUGAAGUCGUAACAAGGUAACCGUAGGGGAACCUGCGGUUGGAUCACCUCCUUA